UUAAAAACGAUGAUAUAGUCCUGCCAUGGGAUAUAUAGUGCCGCAUCACAGCAUCCCUAUACCUCUCCGCUCUGCACAGUGUUUCGUCCAUCCAACCUAUAGGCCAACAAACGCGCACGCAGACGCGGAAGUAUACUCAGUGAAGCUCGCUCCAUUGUUAAGCAUCGAAUUGCUUGGCCCAAUCGACUAGAGGAAAAAUAGUGAUUGACAGAUAUUUCCACCAAUGACUACUUAGCAACCGUAACUAGGUACUACUUCCCUCGUCAAGGUAGAGGAUUCUUGAACGUCUCUCUUCGCCUCCCCAGUGCCCACCGAAUUAGAUGCUAUUGGCCAAUUGUAUGUCAUUCAAACAGACCAGGCACUUCCAGUUCCAUGAACUUAUCGCACAGACCAGCUUAAGCCACGCGAAAGUGUAGGCAGUAGGCAAGUCAGAUGGUAGGCAAAAUGAGCUCGAUGUAGAGGUGACAGCGUGUUUCUUUCAGAAUAUGCUUUCAGACAUUCGUUUUUUUUUUUUUUUUUUUUUAAGUUUUAUCAUAAAGAUAGACUAAUAGCCUCUACCAGGAAAACGAUAUGAGGGUAAAAUAUUUUCUGUCAUUUGCACAUGCAUCCAAAUUUAGUGAAUCUUAAAAUAAAAAACUUUCUUUUUCCUAUAAAUGAAUCUGCCUUGUUAGGCUCAGGCCCCGUACUAAUUCAUUUUUCAGUAGAUUUUUUUUUCAUCCUGUGCAUAUUACCCUACCUAGGUAUUAAGCAGUCAAUGCUUAUUCCUAUCUCAGUCGAUUGCUUUGGGGUGCAGAGAUUACAGAGGGUACCAUAACCUACCACUGAUUACUGGCCUGUCAUGGACUAUUGUAACGAACGCAGAUGUCCAUGUGGGAUGCCCCGGUGCACCCUACAGAUGCUAAGCAUAAACGCACCUCACAUAGCAUAUCAGACGCAGGCUUCAUGGCAGAGGUGAAGGUGAAUAUAAGAAUUAAAGAUGCAUAGCCUGUAUGCUCUACAGAACCAUGUAGCCUUCUAAAUAAGCACAGUAGUUAAGAACAGAUAGGGCAGAAGGCUAGUCCAUAUUAUUACACGAAAUUCUAAUGCUGGACUUAUCACGAACAUGUCGAUUCCCUUUUUAAUCAAAUUCGUGGGCUUGUCGUAGGCUAAUCUCUGCCUUCUAAAGUGUAAUGCAACCACAGAUUUCUAUGGCGCAACAACAUAGUGAAAUAUAUAACUUAUGAAGGCCAUAAUCCAUGGAAUGUGUAUGGUGUAAGUAAGACCACGGGAAGCAGGCUAUGCCGCUUACCCUCACUGACACGCAACUCUUACUUCCGUGUCAGGGAUUCAGCACCACCGUUUUCAGCACCAAGGACAGAGACCGAAAGAUAUGUGUCCAGCGCGCUGCUUCAGUUGCCGUCUUUAGCACAAAUGUCGUGGAACUGUGGACUGUACGUUUUGUUGUUGUUAUUGUUGUUUUUUUGUUUUUUGUUUUUUUAAACACACAUCGUUCACAACUGAUUUGCCUGAAUGUAUCUAGUGUCCUUUUGUAUUUCUCGCUCGUUCCUUUGCGAUGAUGCGGGAGAAAAGGGUGGAAAAUAGGACCGCUACAACACAAAUAAGCUACAUGGUGACUAUCAUCACAACUUCUCAACUCCCCAAGUUUAGUUCAUAGUCUGUGCUUAUGUAUAUUGUGAUUUUAACGUCUUUUCGUACAUACAAAUUUGGUCUGAAACGAAAGCAUUUGAUUACACACUGAAAUUAUAUGAACUUUCUCAGAAAGCUUCUGAGUGCUGAAACAGAGAGCUAGGAAAAAUAGCACAUGAUAUUUCACACUCCUUGGUCCCCAACUGUAUGCAAUUAUAUGCCUCUAUAUAUAUCUUAAGAGCCACUGUUUUACAGCUCUUAAAUGGUUGUUUGAACAGCACCCCAGUCCUUAGAGAAAGAAGAAAUACACUUGUCUCUGUAAUCAGUGACAACCAAGGAUUUUGAGUCUCUGCCGUUUAAAGUGCAGAUAGUAAUGUAACAAUGUCUAUUUCAUUU
ensembl:lncRNA